rnacentral:rRNA from 1 species
UUUUCCCGGUUGAUCCUGCCGGAAGUUACUGCUAUCGAGGUUCGACUAAGCCAUGCGAGUCGAAUGUAGCAAUACAUGGCGAACUGCUCAGUAACACGUGGACAGCCUGCCCUUAGGACGGGGAUAAACCCGGGAAACUGGGUAUAAUACCCGAUAGGUCUCGAUUGCUGGAAUGCAUCGAGAUUUAAAGCUCCGGCGCCUAAGGAUGGGUCUGCGGCCUAUCAGGUAGUAGUGGGUGUAGCGUACCUACUAGCCUACGACGGGUACGGGUUGUGAGAGCAAGAGCCCGGAGAUGGAUUCUGAGACACGAAUCCAGGCCCUACGGGGUGCAGCAGGCGCGAAAACUUUACAAUGCUGGCAACAGCGAUAAGGGAACCUCGAGUGCCAGGUUACAAAUCUGGCUGUCGAGAUGCCUAAAAAGCAUUUCAUAGCAAGGGCCGGGCAAGACCGGUGCCAGCCGCCGCGGUAACACCGGCGGCUCGAGUGGUAACCGUUAUUAUUGGGUCUAAAGGGUCUGUAGCCGGCCGGAUAAGUCUCUUGAGAAAUCUGGCAGCUUAACUGUCAGGCUUUCAGGAGAUACUGUCUGGCUCGAGGCCGGGAGAGGUGAGAGGUACUUCAGGGGUAGGGGUGAAAUCUUGUAAUCCUUGAAGGACCACCAGUGGCGAAGGCGUCUCACCAGAACGGACCUGACGGCAAGGGACGAAAGCUAGGGGCACGAACCGGAUUAGAUACCCGGGUAGUCCUAGCCGUAAACGAUACUCGCUAGGUGUCGGCCACGGUGCGACCGUUGUCGGUGCCGUAGGGAAGCCGUGAAGCGAGCCACCUGGGAAGUACGGCCGCAAGGCUGAAACUUAAAGGAAUUGGCGGGGGAGCACCACAACGGGUGGAGCUUGCGGUUUAAUUGGAGUCAACGCCGGG